GCAGGGAGAAGCUUGGUGGGAGUCUAGAAAGUUCUUAUUAGCUAUCAGAAUAUCUGACUAUUCAGUAUUCUAAAUAUUGUGUCCUCUCUGUGUGCUAAGUCAGUGGUUCACAAAGUGUGUGUCUGGACCACCAGCAGCCACAUCACCUAGGAACUUGAUUAGAGAUGCACAUUCUCAGACCCCAUCCCAGAAUUGCGGAACCAGAAAUUGUAUUCCCUGGGGGCAUGUAGUGCUGGAGACAAACUGAUCAUUCUGUCACAGAAUGUCGGAAGAAUACCUAGCCCACAGUCCAAGACAGUAGGCUUCAUGUCCAGCAAAGAGCCCAACGCAAGGCUUGAACUCACAACC